rnacentral:rRNA from 1 species
CCUACGGGUGGCAGCAGUGAGGAAUAUUGGUCAAUGGACGAGAGUCUGAACCAGCCAAGUAGCGUGAAGGAUGACUGCCCUAUGGGUUGUAAACUUCUUUUAUAUGGGAAUAAAAUGUUCCACGUGUGGGAUUUUGUAUGUACCAUAUGAAUAAGGAUCGGCUAACUCCGUGCCAGCAGCCGCGGUAAUACGGAGGAUCCGAGCGUUAUCCGGAUUUAUUGGGUUUAAAGGGAGCGUAGGUGGAUUGUUAAGUCAGUUGUGAAAGUUUGCGGCUCAACCGUAAAAUUGCAUUUGAAACUGGCAGUCUUGAGUACAGUAGAGGUGGGCGGAAUUCGUGGUGUAGCGGUGAAAUGCUUAGAUAUCACGAAGAACUCCGAUUGCGAAGGCAGUUCACUGGACUGCAACUGACACUGAGGCUCGAAAGUGUGGGUAUCAAACAGGAUUAGAUACCCUAGUAGUC